rnacentral:rRNA from 1 species
UACGGGGGGAGCAAGCGUUGUUCGGAUUUACUGGGCGUAAAGGGCGCGUAGGCGGCGUGACAAGUCACUUGUGAAAUCUCCGGGCUUAACUCGGAACGGUCAAGUGAUACUGUCGUGCUAGAGUACAGAAGGGGCAACUGGAAUUCUCGGUGUAGCGGUGAAAUGCGCAGAUAUCAGGAGGAACACCGGUGGCGAAGGCGGCUUCCUGGACCGACACUGACGCUGAGGCGCGAAAGCUAGGGGAGCAAACGGG